AGUGAUCGGGCGCUUGCCUAGCAUGUGUGAGGCACUGGGUUUGAUUCUCAGCACCACAUAUGAAUAAAUGAAUAAAAUAAAGGUUCAUCAAUAUCUAAAAAAGAUAUAUUUUAAAAAGGUGGGGGUGAGGAUGUAGCUCAGUGGUUAAGUGCCCCUGGGUUCAAUACUUGGUACAAAAAAAGAGAGAGAGAGAAGUCUUUUUUUUUUUUUUUAUUAGUUACACAUGACAGUACAAUGAUCUUGACAUAUCAUACAUUUGAAUCAGAUGGGGUAUAAUUUCUCAUUUUUCUGAGUGUGCAGGUUGCAGGAGAGAGAAGUCUUUGUGUGUGUGUGUGUGUGUGUGUGUGUUUGUGUGUAUGAAUGAACAGGCUACAAUCAUAUUGUUAUGCAAUUUGAAGGUAAUUGGAAAUUAAACCUUAAACCUUUUUCUUGGACUGUUUUGUAUUGCCAGAGUCCAAAAUUCAUCUGUCCAUCGUCAUCUAAGAUCAUCUGUCAUUCUAGGAGUCAUUUUAAUCACUUGUAUCAGGUAACUUGAGAAGCCUGAGCGUCAGGUUUUGAACUGAGCCAGAAAAAGUAGCUGCUUUACUUAAGCCAUAAGGAUUACACUUCUACUCUCAGAGAUUGGUGUGUCUGUGAUAGCAGAGAGGUGAGCAGUUAUCCAGGAAAGCUGCUUAGGAGAAAAAUCCAUCUAGGUCAUUUAGAACCCAAAUUAUCUUUUACUUCCCUAGAGGUCAUUUGCCAUAAAUGAUCUAAAUCCUUUUCUAUAAGACCUAAGUAGGUAAAUCAGAAUUUAAUAUAAACUUGGAGCCCAGGGAAUCAUGUUUGAUUUACUAGGUAAAUGCCAGUGGCUGAUAACAUCUGCAGACUAUGUACAUGUAUUAUUAAUGUGGGAAUGUGGGCAUACUGAUGUAUUCUAGAGAUAAGGCAGUGUAUUUCUUGACCAAGGAAAUCAACCAAAAAACUUUCAAGGAAUGGCUGUCUAUACUAGUUUUUCUUUCAAAAUCAUCAUGACUAUGUAUGAUUUUCAGAAUUUACUCAAUUUUUCUUUUAUCUUUAUAUUCAGUUUCCUGAUAUAUGGCAUAUACAUAUAAUAGCUAUGUUGAGAUACAAUUUAAAUACCAUGAAAGUAUACAGUUCAGUGGAUAUUAGUAUAUUACACCUCAGUCACCACCAAUUCUAGAACAUUUGCAUCACCCUAAUAAAGAAAACCUAUACUCAGUCAGGCACUGUGGCACAUGCCUGUAAUCCCAGUGACUCCAAAGGCUGAGGCCUGAGGAUCCCAAGUUUGAGACCAGCCUCAGCAACUUAGUGAGAUGCUGCCCAAAAGUAAAAAAUAAAAAUGGCUGGUGGGGCUGGGGUUGUAGCUCAGUGAUAGAGUUCUGCCUAGAACAUGUGAGACACUGGGUUCAAUCCUGAGCACCACAUAAAAAUACAUAAAUAAAAUAAAGGUAUUUUAAAAAAAUGGCUGGGAAUGUAACUCAGGGGUUAAGUAAUCUCAGUGACUCAGAAGGCUGAGGAAGGACAAUUACAAGUCCAAAGCCAGCCUCAACAAAUUAGGCCCUAAGCAUCUUAGUGAGACAGUGAGACCCUGUCUCACAAUAAAAAUUAAAAAGGGGUGGGGAGGAUUGGGGUUAUGGCUCAGUGGUAGGGAGCUUGCCUAGCAUGUGUGAGGCACUGGGUUCAAUUCUCAGUACUGCAUAUAAAUAAAUGAAUAAAAUAAAGGUUCAUCAACUACAAAAAACAGAAACAAAAACAAACAUACUUACCACCACUUGUUAUUAUCUGACUUUUUUUGUUUUGUUCUUUUGGUGGUGC
rnacentral:lncRNA from 1 species